GAUGAACGCUGACAGAAUGCUUAACACAUGCAAGUCAUUGGCGAAGCUGCGCUUGCGCAGUCUAGCCAAGGCGGACGGGUGAGUAACGCGUAAGGAACUUGCCCUGCAGACAGGGAUAACAGACGGAAACGACUGAUAACACCUGGUAUUGUAAGGCUGGCGCAUGCCGGCCUGAUGAAAGGAGACGCUGCAGGAGAGCCUUGCGUCCUAUUAGCUAGUUGGUGGGGUAACGGCCCACCAAGGCGAUGUUAGGUAGCCGGCCUGAGAGGGUGAACGGCCACAAGGGGACUGGGAUACGGCCCUUACUCCUACGGGAGGCAGCAGUGGGGAAUAUUGGACAAUGGGGGCAACCCUGAUCCAGCAAUUCUGUGUGCACGAAGAAGGUUUUCGGAUUGUAAAGUGCUUUCAGCAGGGAAGAAGAAAGUGACGGUACCUGCAGAAGAAGCGACGGCUAAAUACGUG
rnacentral:rRNA from 1 species